AUACCGGGUCUUUUCAGGUCUGGUAAUUGGAAUGAGUACAAUCCAAACACCUUAACGAGGAUCCAUUGGAGGGCAAGUCUGGUGCCAGCAGCCGCGGUAACACCAGCUCCAAUAGCGUAUAUUAAAGUUGUUGCAGUUAAAAAGCUCGUAGUUGGAUUUCUGGUCUGGAUUGCCUGGUCCGUCCCAAACGGGAUGUUGACCGGUUGUGGUCCAGCCAUUCUUCGUGGAGAACUUAAUGGCUCUUGACUGAGUUUCAUUAAGGGAUCCCGAUCAUUUACUUUGAGAAAAUUAGAGUGUUCAAAGCAGGCUUAUGCCUUGAAUACAUUAGCAUGGAAUAAUAAGAUAAGACUUUGGUCUUGUUUUGUUGGUUUCUAAGACUGAAGUAAUGAUUGAUAGGGAUAGUUGGGGGUGCUCGUAUUCAACGGCCAGAGGUGAAAUUCAGUGAUUCGUUGAAGACGAACUUAUGCGAAAGCAUUCACCAAGGAUGUCUUCUUUAAUCAAGAACGAAAGUUGCGGGAGCGAAGACGAUCAGAUACCGUCGUAGUCCCAACCAUAAACGAUGCCGACUAGGGACUGGUGGAUGUUAGUUUUUGACUCCAUCAGCACCUUCCGAGAAAUCAAAGUCUUUGGGUCCCGGGGGGAGUAUGUCGCAAGGCUGAAACUUAAAGGAAUUGACGGAAGGGCACCACAAGGAGUGGAGCCUGCGGCUUAAUUUGACCCAACACGGGAAAACUUACCAGGUCCAGACAUAGUAAGGAUUGACAGAUAGCAGCUCUUUCUUGAUUCUAUGGGUGGUGGUGCAUGGCCGUUCUUAGUUGGUGGAGUGAUCUGUCUGGUUGAUUCCGUUAACGAACGAGACCUCAGCCUGCUAAAUAGUUGAGCCAAUGUUGCAUUGGCGAUCAACUUCUUAGAGGGACUUUGGGUGUCGAGCCCAAGGAAGUUUGAGGCAAUAACAGGUCUGUGAUGCCCUUAGAUGUUCUGGGCUGCACGCGCGCUACACUGGUGCAUUCAACGAGUUUACAACCUUGAUCGAGAGAUCUGGGUAAUCUUUGAAAAUGCACCGUGCUUGGGCUAGAUUAUUGCAAUUAUUAAUCUUAAACGAGGAAUUCCUAGUAAGCGCGAGUCAUCAGCUCGCACUGAUUACGUCCCUGCCCUUUGUACACACCGCCCGUCGCUCCUACCGAUUGAAUGAUCCGGUGAAAUCAACGGACUGCGGCGAAUAUGCAUUCGUGCAUUGUUCAGCUGUCGGGAAGUGGAUUAAACCUUAUCAUUU
rnacentral:rRNA from 1 species